rnacentral:rRNA from 1 species
UACGCAGGAUGCAAGCGUUGUCCGGAUUUACUGGGCGUAAAGGGCGCGCAGGCGGCAAUGUAAGUGUCACGUGAAAGCCCCCGGCCUAACCGGGGAGGGUCGUGGGAGACUGCAUAGCUAGAGUACAGCAGAGGAUAGCGGAAUUCCCGGUGUAGUGGUGAAAUGCGUAGAUAUCGGGAGGAACACCAGUGGCGAAAGCGGCUAUCUGGGCUGAAACCGACGCUGAGGCGCGAAGGCUAGGGUAGCAAACAGG